CGCUGGCGGCAGGCUUAACACAUGCAAGUCGAGCGGUAACAGGAGAAGCUUGCUUCUCGCUGACGAGCGGCGGACGGGUGAGUAAUACUUAGGAAUCUACCUAGUAGUGGGGGAUAGCUCGGGGAAACUCGAAUUAAUACCGCAUACGACCUACGGGAGAAAGGGGGCAACUUGUUGCUCUCGCUAUUAGAUGAGCCUAAGUCGGAUUAGCUAGAUGGUGGGGUAAAGGCCUACCAUGGCGACGAUCUGUAGCUGGUCUGAGAGGAUGAUCAGCCACACCGGGACUGAGACACGGCCCGGACUCCUACGGGAGGCAGCAGUGGGGAAUAUUGGACAAUGGGGGCAACCCUGAUCCAGCCAUGCCGCGUGUGUGAAGAAGGCCUUUUGGUUGUAAAGCACUUUAAGCAGUGAAGAAGACUCUAGGGUUAAUACCCCUAGACGAUGACAUUAGCUGCAGAAUAAGCACCGGCUAACUCUGUGCCAGCAGCCGCGGUAAUACAGAGGGUGCAAGCGUUAAUCGGAAUUACUGGGCGUAAAGCGAGCGUAGGUGGCUUGAUAAGUCAGAUGUGAAAUCCCCGGGCUUAACCUGGGAACUGCAUCUGAUACUGUUGAGCUAGAGUAGGUGAGAGGGAAGUAGAAUUCCAGGUGUAGCGGUGAAAUGCGUAGAGAUCUGGAGGAAUACCGAUGGCGAAGGCAGCUUCCUGGCAUCAUACUGACACUGAGGCUCGAAAGCGUGGGUAGCAAACAGGAUUAGAUACCCUGGUAGUCCACGCCGUAAACGAUGUCUACUAGUCGUUGGGUCCCUUGAGGACUUAGUGACGCAGCUAACGCAAUAAGUAGACCGCCUGGGGAGUACGGCCGCAAGGUUAAAACUCAAAUGAAUUGACGGGGGCCCGCACAAGCGGUGGAGCAUGUGGUUUAAUUCGAUGCAACGCGAAGAACCUUACCUGGUCUUGACAUAUCUAGAAUCCUGCAGAGAUGCGGGAGUGCCUUCGGGAAUUAGAAUACAGGUGCUGCAUGGCUGUCGUCAGCUCGUGUCGUGAGAUGUUGGGUUAAGUCCCGCAACGAGCGCAAC
rnacentral:rRNA from 1 species